UGCAGAAGGGCUAUUUUCACUGGAGGUUGCUGCCUUGACAUGCGCUGGACGUGCCCAAGCAGUCCGGGCGCACUUCAGACGCAAAACAAGCUGGUAUUUUCUGCCUUGGCCAUCCACUGGAUAUGCGCAAGAAUUCCAGGCGCAGUCCUGGUGCAUGUUGGACGCAAGGCUGCUGGUUCAUACUGCCUAAGUGUGCGUUGGAACUGCUGGCGCAUUCUAAGCGCAGAUGGGUCGAAAUUCAGUGUAUGAGCAAUGGGUUGGAUCUUGUUGGGCUGACCCGAACCGGUCAGCCCAAAAUGUUUUAAAAUACAUAAAAGCAAGCCAAAACUGUCUUUAACACUUACAUUUUUCAUCACAACUAAAUUCUAACGUCUCUUUUCUCUCAAGCUUCACAUUUUCUCUUUCUUUGACCAAAAUUGAGCUAACAAGAAGUUAAUAAUUCUCUUGAACUUGUGCUUAGUUUAUUCUUCCCUUCUCUUACAUCAAACAAGGUAUGCUUUUUUCACUAUUUCACUUUUGAAUUCUCUUAAAAAUGGACAUUGUGAUUCAUACCUCAUUUUGAUUGAUCUCUUGAAAUUGGUUUGUGUGAGUUAGUUGGGAUGAUUUGUACUCAUUGUAGUCUUAAGUUGUCAUUGGUACCUUGUUUCACUUAUUUGCCUAAUAAUUCUCUCUUGAAUGAAACUAGUACACCAUGUAUUUGAUAAAAUGGCCAUUACCCCCUUUCUUGCUUAUUUUGUGUGGUGGUUGGCUGAAGUAUGAUACUAUGAGCAUCUUGAAUAUGUUUGGUGAUGAUUUGGUGAAAUGAUCUUGUUCUCUUGUGCUUAAAUUCUCAUUAUCCAAUUUCAUAUUUAGCCUACCAUAUAUUUGUUAAAAUGACAACAAGAGAGGAAUGUGUUGUACACUUGUAGUGGCCAAUGUGAUUUCCCUUAAGACAUAAUGUGGUCAUUAUCUAUGCAUCAUUUUGAGUUCAAUUGAACCUAAAAGUGAAAUAUUUGGUAGUCAUUGGUCAUUCAUGUUUCCAUUGGAGGUUUUGGAUGUCUUAUGAACUAAAGUUGUGAAAUGUGAAGAAUGUGAAAUAUUGUAGAACCAAAAUGACUAAGUGUUGUAAUGAAUGCAUCCCAUGAGCUCUAAUGUUGAAAUUACUUUGCAUAAAUCAAACAAACAUUUUAUUUUCUUAUCUUUAAUUUUCUUUCUUAACAUACAAAAAUUCCAAAAACAUGUUUUAAUUUUUCUCUUUUGUUUUGGUUUUAUUUGUUUCUUUUUCAUAGGUAUGUCUCCAUGAAAGAACUUGCCACGAGAAGCUAGAAAGGAUAAUGCUAAAGAUAAAGUCAAAGAAAAAGUUACCUCCGCAAAGGAAAGAGCACCGGUCUCCAAAAAUAGUUCGAAAGCUCUGGAUGUCCAAGCAACUAUUGAUCGUACACGGGAGGUCGGAAAGGAGGUGGAUCGAAUACGGUUUAGUGUGGAUGGUGUGAAGAAGCUUUAUGAUGAAUGGAUACCUACUCGGGCUUCCAUCCUGAGAAGGUCUUUAGCAUGAAGGGAGUUGACACCCAUUUCCCCGAGAUCAUCACUGAAGUUAAGGAACGGGCAUGGGAACUCUUCACAGAUAUGACGCCUCCCACUCACCCACUAAGAUACUUCUCGAAUAUUGUUCGUGUGUUUUUGUAACGCCCCAAAAAUCUAUCCCGAGACUUCACACGGUGCUUGGAACCACAGGUGAUCCCAAGCUAACCCAUGAGUUAGCAUAUUGUUAAGCAACUGAAUUAUAACAUAAUAAAUAACUAUUCUGCUGUGCGAAAAUAUAAUCAAACUGAAAAUGUAAAAUAGUUACAACGCUGAUAAAGAUUUAUAUAUGAUAAAUCUGAAGGAUGAAACUGAAAUUACAUGACUGACUCUGACUGACAUCUAUAAAGCCUCUACUAUACUAACUAUAGAUAGUUAGGACAUGCCUCUAACUACCACUAAUCAAUAC
rnacentral:lncRNA from 1 species